UACGUAGGGACCGAGCGUUGUCCGGAAUCAUUGGGCGUAAGGAGCGUGUAGGCGGCCAGGUAGGUCUGCUGUGAAAACUCGAGGCUCAACCUCGAGACGUCGGCGGAAACCAUCUGGCUAGAGUCCGGAAGAGGAGAGUGGAAUUCCUGGUGUAGCGGUGAAAUGCGCAGAUAUCAGGAAGAACACCCGUGGCGAAGGCGGCUCUCUGGGACGGUACUGACGCUGAGACGCGAAAGCGUGGGGAGCGAACAGG
rnacentral:rRNA from 1 species